rnacentral:rRNA from 1 species
AACGCGAAGAACCUUACCUACCCUUGACAUACAGCGAAGAUAUCAGAGAUGAGAUUGUGCCUUCGGGAACGCUGAUACAGGUGCUGCAUGGCUGUCGUCAGCUCGUGUCGUGAGAUGUUGGGUUAAGUCCCGUAACGAGCGCAACCCUUGUCCUUAGUUGCCAGCACGUAAAGGUGGGAACUCUAAGGAGACUGCCGGUGACAAACCGGAGGAAGGCGGGGACGACGUCAAGUCAUCAUGGCCCUUACGGGUAGGGCUACACACGUGCUACAAUGGUUAGUACAGAGGGAUGCGAAGCGGCGACGUGGAGCCAACCCUAAAAAGCUAAUCGUAGUCCGGAUUGAAGUCUGCAACUCGACUUCAUGAAGUCGGAAUCGCUAGUAAUCGCGAAUCAGCAUGUCGCGGUGAAUACGUUCCCGGGCCUUGUACACACCGCUCGUC